UCGAUUCUCACAUCAAUUUUGGAAUCGCUUCCAUUUACAGAAAAUGACGAAAUUAGAGCCCAGAAGCUUCCAAUUCGUUCGCUAUCCACAACUCUGCGUGGAAUCGUUUUCAAUUCGAACUCCUAGAUUAGAUUGUCUUUGAUCAAAAACGAAUCUGCUACUUAAUUUGAUUUCUACGUCACCGGUAUCAUCUCUUAAAGUCAUUGCGGUGAUUUCUGACCUUGAUUCUUCCUUUACGUUGUAGGAUCGUGAUCGCUUUGCUCGAAUCUUACUUCACAAUCACAAUCACAAGGAAUGCACAGAUAAGGUCUUGAAUUCGACGCAAGAGCAGCGUUCUCCCUACCGCUGUGCUUUCAAACACAUUAUCAAGAAGCUUCUAUAACAAACUCGGUUGAGAGAAAGUACACAACCUUUAUCAAAUCCAGCAACCGCUCAACAAGUUCUUGAUUAUCUGAGCUUGUAAGGCUUCCAGUCCAUGUAAAGACAGUGGAGCUGCUAUUCAAUAUGUAGCAGUAGGAGGAAUUCAAAGACGAUGCAACCUGACAAAGGAGAAUAUAUAAGCUUUGAGGUAAAAUGGAUUCAAAAGUACAGGAUGAGCUGACCUCGGCAGCUGCAGUUGCUUUCUUCCGGUCGUCAAGAG